rnacentral:rRNA from 1 species
UACGGAGGGUGCAAGCGUUGUCCGGAUUUAUUGGGUUUAAAGGGUGCGUAGGUGGUUUGAUAAGUCCGGGGUGAAAGCCACAGCUCAACUGUGGAACUGCCCUGGAUACUGUCAGACUUGAGGGUAGACGAGGUUGGCGGAAUAGAAGGUGUAGCGGUGAAAUGACAUAGAUACCUUCUAGAACCCGAUUGCGUAGGCAGCUGACUAGGCUACACCU